rnacentral:rRNA from 1 species
CCUACGGGCGGCAGCAGUGGGGAAUAUUGGACAAUGGGGGGAACCCUGAUCCAGCCAUGCCGCGUGUGUGAAGAAGGCCCUCGGGUUGUAAAGCACUUUCAGUGAGGAAGAACGCCUGGUGGUUAAUACCCAUCAGGAAAGACAUCACUCACAGAAGAAGCACCGGCUAACUCCGUGCCAGCAGCCGCGGUAAUACGGAGGGUGCGAGCGUUAAUCGGAAUUACUGGGCGUAAAGCGCGCGUAGGUGGCUUGAUAAGCCGGUUGUGAAAGCCCCGGGCUCAACCCGGGAACGGCAUCCGGAACUGUCAAGCUAGAGUGCAGGAGAGGAAGGUAGAAUUCCCGGUGUAGCGGUGAAAUGCGUAGAGAUCGGGAGGAAUACCAGUGGCGAAGGCGGCCUUCUGGACUGACACUGACACUGAGGUGCGAAAGCGUGGGUAGCAAACAGGAUUAGAUACCCUGGUAGUC